rnacentral:rRNA from 1 species
AGUGAACGCUGGCGGUAGGCCUAACACAUGCAAGUCGAACGGCAGCACAGUAAGAGCUUGCUCUUACGGGUGGCGAGUGGCGGACGGGUGAGGAAUACAUCGGAAUCUACUUUUUCGUGGGGGAUAACGUAGGGAAACUUACGCUAAUACCGCAUACGACCUACGGUUGAAAGUAGGGGAUCUUCGGACCUUGCGCGAUUGAAUGAGCCGAUGUCGGAUUAGCUAGUUGGCGGGGUAAAGGCCCACCAAGGCGACGAUCCGUAGCUGGUCUGAGAGGAUGAUCAGCCACACUGGAACUGAGACACGGUCCAGACUCCUACGGGAGGCAGCAGUGGGGAAUAUUGGACAAUGGGCGCAAGCCUGAUCCAGCCAUACCGCGUGGGUGAAGAAGGCCUUCGGGUUGUAAAGCCCUUUUGUUGGGAAAGAAAAGCAGCAGGUUAAUACCCCGCUGUUCUGACGGUACCCAAAGAAUAAGCACCGGCUAACUUCGUG